ensembl:lncRNA
UUAGAUAAGGUAAUCUUAAGCUCUAAUGAAGUUACUUUUUAAUGUUUUAGGGACUGCUGUGCUGCCUUCAAGGUGCUGGAUCCUGGGGCUCAGGAGCACAUCGUAUGGGACAGCUGGAAGACCACAGAGGCUCUUGUUACAGAGGCCACUUCUGGAAAGCUGGCUAACAACAGCGCAUCUAGGACAAAGUUUAACAAAGACAUUACCAUCAAGUUAGACUUGUUUCAUUGUAUGCGGCGCUUGACCAGGGAGUGUGUCUCAGAGCAUCAUCCUCUGUACAGCUCUUUCUGUCAGUUCCUCUCUGCAGCAUUCGUUGUCGUGGACCAGAGUGACCUCCAGAACCUCAAGGAUGCCUACACCUUCUGUAGAAUCCUACCUGCGAAUCCCACCAAGCAGCACAUCAGAGAGCACUGUCGGACAAAGGUGCCACAACCAAGAGAACUGCUGCAGAGGGUUGAAGAUGUCCUCUGUCACUUCCACCUGGCGAAGGACGCCAAUGAUGUGCUGCUCUUCAAGCCCUCCAUGUUGAAAGUGUGGAGAAUCCAGCGCAUCCACAUCCUGAGAGGCUGCCUGAGCGACCCUGAGGUGGAGGAGGGCAUCCUGUACAGGUAUGGUGGCACCUUGCAGCUGAACUACACCAAGGGCGAGAGAGCUGCUGUACCUGUCUGGAUCCCUGUGAGAGGCACGUCUCAGCAGGAGGGCUUCCACUAUCACCAAGCCCAGUGGGUAACAGGCAGCAGGGUGUCCAGUGAGCUCUUCCAGGCCCAGGCCAUGACUGGAGUGGUGCGCUGGAACUUCCAGAGGCUGGUGGACCUUAAGAGGCCAGAUGUGGAUCUUCCAGCUGUGUUUGACCCCCUGUUAAUCGCUCAACUGAACACAUCCUCUCUGAGAGUGACAGGGAGGGCAAAAUACCCAAUAUUGCAAGUAGCAAACAGGGACACAGGGGAGCGAUUUGGACUGGAGUAUGUGGAGCCAGGCUGUCGUCCUGUUGUCUUGAACUGGGAUAAGGACAAGACACAGCCCAACUCCUCAGCUGCUGACACCAUGGAGCUGCAGCAGCACCAUGCCCAGGAUCAACCUCAUCCCUGCCCUGCUGCUGUAGUGGGCACAGACCCUCAGGAGACCAGGGACACUGUCCAGGAUGAUCCGGUUGUGGCAGCACCGAUCCUGUCUUCCAGGCAGUGUGCUGAAGCAGUCCCGCAGUUCCAGCUGCCCUUCAUUCCAGCAUCUGCAACAGCCAAAGCAGAGCCUCCUCUGGAAGCAGGUAACUUAAAGUACCCACCUACACCUUCCUUAAUACAGACCUCAUAGCUAAAAGCAGGCUUUGACACUGUGGUUGGAAUUAAUAUCAUGAAAAACAUUGUAAUCUGUUGUCCAUUGACAGUAAUUAUUGAGCUAAUGAGUGCAAAACGUAAAACC